rnacentral:rRNA from 1 species
GGGUUGUGAGGUUAAGCGACCAAGCGUACACGGUGGAUGCCCUGGCAGUCAGAGGCGAUGAAGGACGUGCUAAUCUGCGAUAAGCGCCGGUAAGGUGAUAUGAACCGUUAUAACCGGCGAUUUCCGAAUGGGGAAACCCAGUGUGACUCGUCACACUAUCAUUAACUGAAUCCAUAGGUUAAUGAGGCGAACCGGGGGAACUGAAACAUCUAAGUACCCCGAGGAAAAGAAAUCAACCGAGAUUCCCCCAGUAGCGGCGAGCGAACGGGGAGGAGCCCAGAGCCUGAAUCAGCAUGUGUGUUAGUGGAAGCGUCUGGAAAGGCGCGCGAUACAGGGUGACAGCCCCGUACACAAAAGCGCAUAUGCUGUGAGCUCGAUGAGUAGGGCGGGACACGUGGUAUCCUGUCUGAAUAUGGGGGGACCAUCCUCCAAGGCUAAAUACUCCUGACUGACCGAUAGUGAACCAGUACCGUGAGGGAAAGGCGAAAAGAACCCCGGCGAGGGGAGUGAAACAGAACCUGAAACCGUGUACGUACAAGCAGUGGGAGCCCCACCACUAAGCCAGUGGUGAACUCCACAUACGCAUCCUUUGCGGAAGGUGCGGUUAACGGAGCGAAAGCGACGUUCAACCUCAAAAAAAGCAGAGGGGGCUUAGUGGUGGGGUGACUGCGUACCUUUUGUAUAAUGGGUCAGCGACUUAUAUUCUGUAGCAAGGUUAACCGCAUAGGGGAGCCGAAGGGAAACCGAGUCUUAAUUGGGCGUUAAGUUGCAGGGUAUAGACCCGAAACCCGGUGAUCUAGCCAUGGGCAGGUUGAAGGUUGGGUAACACUAACUGGAGGACCGAACCGACUAAUGUUGAAAAAUUAGCGGAUGACCUGUGGCUGGGGGUGAAAGGCCAAUCAAACCGGGAGAUAGCUGGUUCUCCCCGAAAGCUAUUUAGGUAGCGCCUCGUGAAUUCAUCUCCGGGGGUAGAGCACUGUUUCGGCUAGGGGGCCAUCCCGGCUUACCAACCCGAUGCAAACUGCGAAUACCGGAGAAUGUUAUCACGGGAGACACACGGCGGGUGCUAACGUCCGUCGUGAAGAGGGAAACAACCCAGACCGCCAGCUAAGGUCCCAAAGUCAUGGUUAAGUGGGAAACGAUGUGGGAAGGCCCAGACAGCCAGGAUGUUGGCUUAGAAGCAGCCAUCAUUUAAAGAAAGCGUAAUAGCUCACUGGUCGAGUCGGCCUGCGCGGAAGAUGUAACGGGGCUAAACCAUGCACCGAAGCUGCGGCAGCGAACGUAUCACUUAAAACGGUUCAGAAGCUUACGAUUGACGGAGCGAAGCGACGUCAAAGCGUAUACAAAGUCGAGUCGGUUUAGGGAUACGUUCGUUGGGUAGGGGAGCGUUCUGUAAGCCGUUGAAGGUGUGUCGUGAGGCAUGCUGGAGGUAUCAGAAGUGCGAAUGCUGACAUAAGUAACGAUAAAGCGGGUGAAAAACCCGCUCGCCGGAAGACCAAGGGUUCCUGUCCAACGUUAAUCGGGGCAGGGUGAGUCGACCCCUAAGGCGAGGCCGAAAGGCGUAGUCGAUGGGAAACGGGUUAAUAUUCCCGUACUUGGUGUUACUGCGAAGGGGGGACGGAGAAGGCUAUGUUGGCCGGGCGACGGUUGUCCCGGUUUAAGCAUGUAGGCGGAUGUUCCAGGUAAAUCCGGAACGUUACUAACGCUGAGGUGUGAUGACGAGGCACCACGGUGCUGAAGCAACAAAUGCCCUGCUUCCAGGAAAAGCCUCUAAGCAUCAGGUAACAUCAAAUCGUACCCCAAACCGACACAGGUGGUCAGGUAGAGAAUACCAAGGCGCUUGAGAGAACUCGGGUGAAGGAACUAGGCAAAAUGGUGCCGUAACUUCGGGAGAAGGCACGCUGACACGUAGGUGAAGUGAUUUACUCACGGAGCUGAAGUCAGUCGAAGAUACCAGCUGGCUGCAACUGUUUAUUAAAAACACAGCACUGUGCAAACACGAAAGUGGACGUAUACGGUGUGACGCCUGCCCGGUGCCGGAAGGUUAAUUGAUGGGGUCAGCGCAAGCGAAGCUCCUGAUCGAAGCCCCGGUAAACGGCGGCCGUAACUAUAACGGUCCUAAGGUAGCGAAAUUCCUUGUCGGGUAAGUUCCGACCUGCACGAAUGGCGUAAUGAUGGCCAGGCUGUCUCCACCCGAGACUCAGUGAAAUUGAACUCGCUGUGAAGAUGCAGUGUACCCGCGGCAAGACGGAAAGACCCCGUGAACCUUUACUAUAGCUUGACACUGAACAUUGAGCCUUGAUGUGUAGGAUAGGUGGGAGGCUUUGAAGCGUGGACGCCAGUCUGCGUGGAGCCAACCUUGAAAUACCACCCUUUAAUGUUUGAUGUUCUAACGUGGACCCGUAAUCCGGGUUGCGGACAGUGUCUGGUGGGUAGUUUGACUGGGGCGGUCUCCUCCUAAAGAGUAACGGAGGAGCACGAAGGUUGGCUAAUCCUGGUCGGACAUCAGGAGGUUAGUGCAAUGGCAUAAGCCAGCUUGACUGCGAGCGUGACGGCGCGAGCAGGUGCGAAAGCAGGUCAUAGUGAUCCGGUGGUUCUGAAUGGAAGGGCCAUCGCUCAACGGAUAAAAGGUACUCCGGGGAUAACAGGCUGAUACCGCCCAAGAGUUCAUAUCGACGGCGGUGUUUGGCACCUCGAUGUCGGCUCAUCACAUCCUGGGGCUGAAGUAGGUCCCAAGGGUAUGGCUGUUCGCCAUUUAAAGUGGUACGCGAGCUGGGUUUAGAACGUCGUGAGACAGUUCGGUCCCUAUCUGCCGUGGGCGCUGGAGAAUUGAGGGGGGCUGCUCCUAGUACGAGAGGACCGGAGUGGACGCAUCACUGGUGUUCGGGUUGUCAUGCCAAUGGCACUGCCCGGUAGCUAAAUGCGGAAGAGAUAAGUGCUGAAAGCAUCUAAGCACGAAACUUGCCCCGAGAUGAGUUCUCCCUGAGACUUUAAGUCUCCUGAAGGAACGUUGAAGACGACGACGUUGAUAGGCCGGGUGUGUAAGCGCAGCGAUGCGUUGAGCUAACCGGUACUAAUGAACCGUGAGGCUUAACCUUACAACGCCGAAGCUGUU